rnacentral:lncRNA from 10 species
CCUGUAUGUGCUGCGAGAAGCAAGAUAGCUAAUUGCUGUUGCUUCAGUGCCAGUGAAAUCAACGUGCUGAGCUAAUAGCGACAGAUAGAGGGCAGACAGAUUCCUGCGAGCAGCUUAGAGUUAGUUGCUUGUGAUAACUAAGGCAGGUGGCAUACAUCUCAGAACGUGGAGAAUGAUGGUAUGCUUUCUGAGUUAACAUGUUGAAGUGUUUCGCUUUUAAAAAAAAAUGUCUAGUAACAUUUUCUUGAUGAUAUGAGAGUGGAUAUCAAUGCCUCACAGAAACAAGAGGUGGAACAUGUGAAUGAAUCGUCUUGGAAUUAGAUUAUGAGCAUUGGUUCUUUUUAAAGGGAUGUGCAAGAGGCAGCCUUGGCAAGAAAACUUGCUGCAUAAUCUUACGUGGACUAAAGAUGAAACUUUAAACCGCAAUACAGAGACCCAAUAGGCACUGGAAUAAGUGUACAAAACUGAGGUGGAUACACCAGGGAUGAAACGGACAGGAGUAGCCAGACUUGCCAGAUUCAUGGGGUAAGUUCCAAAAUGGAGAUAAAAUAAUGUUGUUGUUGCUUUAUGAAUAGUAAUUAUUGUCAUAACCAACUUAAUGCUGUGAAUUAAUAUGUGCUGAUAAGUUGUCAUGUAGCAGGUACUUAUUUUUAUUGAGAAAUUUUAAGGUGAUGUGAUGGGUGCCUCAUGCUUAUUAUCUGUAUUUUCCCCAAACAAUAAUGAAUUUGAAUAUUUGAAUUUUUAUGGCUUUUCAUAACUACCUUUGAAUCUUUUCAGCUUUCUGAACUUUAAAUUGUAAAUUUUAUUACAAAUUAAUAAACAUUA